CUUCUCAGGCACAGACCACGUUUUAAGCACAUCAAUCAUCUCUUUCUGCUGUUUCUCCAAGAGGUGAAAUAUCGUAAGGUUUUAAAGCCUCCUGCUAACACCAGCAGCUGCAAUGCUCUUCUAUUCCAAGAGAGAGAGGUUUUACAAGCAGUGAUUACAAAGCUGUACCAGAGGCUGCAGAAGACCAAGCUGCAAAGAGAAGUAGAAUGCAUGAACUGGAGGAUUUUGACAAGCAAGUAAUGACUGCUUCUGACUUGGCAGAGUGAAGAUCUGUGGAUUGUAAUGAGCAGAUGGAGGAAUCUUGUUUGAAAUAUGGAUGAAAGAAUCUGAAAAUUCAAGCAUAAUGUGAAAUUGGCUCUUGCAUAGAUAGAGUCAAACCCUUGUUUUUGUCAAGAAAAAUGGCAGAAAUUCUUACUUCUGUCCUUUGAUGACAUAAAAAUAAAAAUUCUAACUAUGGAACAUGAUUCAAGAAAAAGCAGAAAAGAUGCACCAGUUGGUCCACAUGAUAAUAGGCCCAGUGAAUGUUUUGUGCUGUGAGUAGCUAUAUUGUCAAUAAAUACAUGUAAAUACUUAGGAAAACCAGGAUUAAGUAAAAGGUAAAACUGUUUUCAAAUAUUUGCACUUGCUGAUGCAAAUCUAACUCCAAAGGGAAAUAGCUUUCAGUAAUUAGUUCCAGAUGUACUUGUAAAAGUUACAAUGAAAAGGUAAUUAUGUUGUAAACAGUGGGAAUGCUUUUCUUCAUCAAAGUGAGAGU